rfam:Melissococcus plutonius ATCC 35311 DNA, complete genome.
AAUCUUAUUGUAUAAUAUUUAUGUAGAAAAGUGAAAAGAUGGUGGCUAGUCUCUUGAAUAAAGGGGUGAUGCCUAUGGUUAUAGAAGUUACCCCUAGAAAGGAUUAACAGUUGUCAGUAUAUGAAGCAUUAUCACUAAUGAUUGCUUUUGCAACAUUAGUGUUGCUGAUUAUUGACGAAAA